rnacentral:rRNA from 1 species
GACGAACGCUGGCGGCGUGCUUAACACAUGCAAGUCGAACGGAGUGGCGAACGGGUGAGUAACACGUUGUUGAUCUGCCUUGCACUCUGGGAUCAGCUUGUGCAACUGCGUCUAAUACCGGAUAGUUCAGGAUGAGCUCGCGGCCUAUCAGCUUGUUGUUGGGGUAAUGGCCUACCAAGGCGUCGACGGGUAUCCGGCCUGAGAGGGUGUACGGCGACAUUGGGACUGAGAUACGGCCCAGACUCCUACGGGAGGCGGCAGUGGGGAAUAUUGCACAAUGGGCGGAAGCCUGAUGCAGCGACGCCGCGUGGGGGAUGACGGCCUUCGGGUUGUAAACUCCUUUCGACAGGGACGCGGUACCUGUAUAAGAAGCACCGGCUAACUACGUGCCAGCAGCCGCGGUAAUGC